UACGAAGGGGGGCUAGCGUUGCUCGGAAUGACUGGGCGUAAAGGGCGCGUAGGCGGAUUGUACAGUCAGGCGUGAAAUUCCCGGGCUCAACCUGGGGGCUGCGCUUGAGACGUGCGAUCUUGAGUGGGGAAGAGGGUCGUGGAAUUCCCAGUGUAGAGGUGAAAUUCGUAGAUAUUGGGAAGAACACCGGUGGCGAAGGCGGCGACCUGGUCCUUGACUGACGCUGAGGCGCGAAAGCGUGGGGAGCAAACAGG
rnacentral:rRNA from 1 species